UUUUCCAGACCGGGGAGUUCAAAGACCAGUGUCAGGAAGAAUGUGAUCGCUAUAACAUCAGUAUAGUUAAAGAUCUGAGUAUUGGAGAGAAACCGUGUUCUUUCCUCGAUGAAAAGGAUUGCCGCUUUGACUUUGCUUACGAAAUUGACAGAGAUUCAGGCAACGUCUUGCUGUGGGCGAAGCAGGACUUGGACUGCCCGGAACCAGUCAACACAACAGGCGUGAUCAUCGGAGUCAUCGGAGCUGUGUUGACCGUCGGCGUAUUGGCUCUUGU